rnacentral:rRNA from 1 species
UGCAUCGAUGAAGAACGCAGCGAAAUGCGAUAAGUAAUGUGAAUUGCAGAAUUCAGUGAAUCAUCGAAUCAUCGAAUCUUUGAACGCACAUUGCGCCCUCUGGUAUUCCGGGGGGCAUGCCUGUUCGAGCGUCAUUACACCUCUCAAGCUCAGCUUGGUAUUGGGUCUUCGCCCUUCGUGGACGGGCCUAAAAAUUAGUGGCGGUGCAACCGGUCCUCAAGCGUAAUAGCAUGAAUAUCCCGCUUUGGAGUAACCGGGUGGACCCGCCAGAUAACCUCUAAAAUAUUUCAAUGGUUGACCUCGGAUCAGGUAGGGAUACCCGCUGAACUUAAGCAUAUCAAUAAGCGGAGGAA